rnacentral:rRNA from 1 species
AUUGAACGCUGGCGGCAGGCCUAACACAUGCAAGUCGAGCGGUAGAGAGAAGCUUGCUUCUCUUGAGAGCGGCGGACGGGUGAGUAAUGCCUAGGAAUCUGCCUGGUAGUGGGGGAUAACGUUCGGAAACGGACGCUAAUACCGCAUACGUCCUAUGGGAGAAAGCAGGGGACCUUCGGGCCUUGCGCUAUCAGAUGAGCCUAGGUCGGAUUAGCUAGUUGGUGGGGUAAUGGCUCACCAAGGCGACGAUCCGUAACUGGUCUGAGAGGAUGAUCAGUCACACUGGAACUGAGACACGGUCCAGACUCCUACGGGAGGCAGCAGUGGGGAAUAUUGGACAAUGGGCGAAAGCCUGAUCCAGCCAUGCCGCGUGUGUGAAGAAGGUCUUCGGAUUGUAAAGCACUUUAAGUUGGGAGGAAGGGCAGUAAAUUAAUACUUUGCUGUUUUGACGUUACCGACAGAAUAAGCACCGGCUAACUCUGUG